GGAGCACACAAACCAAUCCAUUGGAACGCAAAAUUAUAACAUACAGAUUUAUGCAAGAGGGAUGACUGCAAAGUGCGUUUCAUGAGCAGUGUAAGAAGCUGAAAAUUGCUGCUGUUGUAGCUGUCAUAGGCACGUUAUUUUCUUUGGCUCUGAACAAACAUGUUUUUCCAGAAUCGACUAAUAAGAUUACUAAUUGCAUUUCAUCAACAGAAUUGUUUAUCGUAGAGGAUCUGUGUCUUGAUUAGGAUUCUGUUGUGGCAAGUGCCUCUAUCAAUCACAGGGAGAUCAAGUCCUUGCCUGAAGAUGUGCAUAUAAAGAUACCCCAUACAGCAGCAUGCCUUGAAGGAGCUUGAUGAUAUGGCAAACCGAGAAGAUAUGUUUAAAAUAUUGCCAGUUUUUAUGUGUAAGAAGAAUCCCAUCCAUGAAGGAAUCUGAACUAGAAGGACAAGACAGGAGCUCUUGGCUGCACUCUUUGGCUAACAUCAUUAAGCCAUUGCCAUAAGAUUGUAUGAAGAUGCACCACCCUAGGAAUUUCAGAUAAAACACCAAAUACAGGG